rnacentral:lncRNA from 1 species
AUGAUGGAUCCGGUGAAUCAGUUUCACGCUCUUUCCCAGUGUAUGGCUUUAAUCCAAGACCUGCUGAAGGAAAUCCAGGAACUCAAAGAGUCCAGAGACGAUCUGAGACUGAAAGUUGAUGCUCUGAAUGAUCAGCUCAGCCAGGUGACCGCACAUGCACACCAGUAUCAUAAAUCAAUCAAUUUGCUAAUAAAUAAUUAGCGCUUGUGUGACUUGAUAACAUGUUGUCAUCUUCAGCUGAACUUGAAUGAGUUGGCAGACCGUAUCUUGGCUAUGGAGCAGUAUUGCCACCAAGUGGAAGAUUUGGACAACACUACGGUGAGUAUUGCUGUUAAAGUACAACCAAAAAAACUUUUUCUCACCCUCAUAUCGAUCCAAACCAAUAUAAAUCUUUUUUUUUUUCAUGGAACAGAAAAGUAGAUGUUUAGCAGAAUGUCUG